UUUCUGGUUUUUUUCAAAACCACUUAUUUUUCUAAUUAAACUCCUG
rfam:Mycoplasma gallinaceum strain B2096 8B, complete genome.